CCUCUGCCACCGCUCCAAAAAAAAGAAGCGAACAGCCUCUCUGCCUCCCACGAACCUCGCCGCCGCCACCAACGCCGGACGAUUCCGGCUACUUCCGGCAGCCCUCGCCGGAGCGCAGCACACCCACGAGCUCUCCUCGCGACGGUGCUUCCUUCCCUCCGGCCAGAUCCGCUCUUCGCGGCCGCAAGCGCUAGCGCGCGACCCCUCCCCGCGAUUAGGGUUUCGGCUGCCUCCAACUCCGGCGCGCAGCCACCCUCCUCCAUGGACGAGGACGAUCACCAUGGCCCGCACAUGGUCGAGCUCGCUGUCGUCUGCUCCGGUGCGGUGCUGGGCCAACAACCUCCGCCGCCAUGGCUCCUAGCUUGGGGGUUGGCCAUCAAGUAACAGAUAUGGAGCUACAUCACAGUUCCAAGGUUCUCAUGCCCCUGGUCUCCAGAACGACCAUGUACAACAGUUACAUAGUUGCUCCUAGCUUGGGUAAGCACCCCCAUCCCCAUGGCCAUCUGCUUGGCAGAAAAUAACAUGCACUCUUAUUUAAGUCAUUGAUGUAGUGGCUUGCAUGCAUCAUCCUUUUUAGGAGACUCGCUGAGAUUCAACUUUAGGACACUGCCAUUCUUUGAAGAUGAUACAAUUGUUUCUAUUUGGGUGUACCUAUAUAUGUGUGUGUAACUGUGUACAU